AGUGAACGCUGGCGGUAGGCCUAACACAUGCAAGUCGAACGGCAGCACAGGAGAGCUUGCUCUCUGGGUGGCGAGUGGCGGACGGGUGAGGAAUACAUCGGAAUCUACUCUGUCGUGGGGGAUAACGUAGGGAAACUUACGCUAAUACCGCAUACGACCUACGGGUGAAAGCAGGGGAUCUUCGGACCUUGCGCGAUUGAAUGAGCCGAUGCCGGAUUAGCUAGUGGGCGGGGUAAAGGCCCACCAAGGCGACGAUCCGUAGCUGGUCUGAGAGGAUGAUCAGCCACACUGGAACUGAGACACGGUCCAGACUCCUACGGGAGGCAGCAGUGGGGAAUAUUGGACAAUGGGCGCAAGCCUGAUCCAGCCAUACCGCGUGGGUGAAGAAGGCCUUCGGGUUGUAAAGCCCUUUUGUUGGGAAAGAAAUCCAGCUGGCUAAUACCCGGUUGGGAUGACGGUACCCAAAGAAUAAGCACCGGCUAACUUCGUGCCAGCCGCCGCCGUAA
rnacentral:rRNA from 1 species